rnacentral:rRNA from 1 species
UACAGAGGUCUCGAGCGUUGUUCGGAUUCAUUGGGCGUAAAGGGCGCGUAGGCGGCGGGGUAAGUCUGGUGUGAAAUCUAGGAGCUCAACUCCUAAACUGCACUGGAUACUGCCGUGCUUGAGGACUGGAGAGGAGACUGGAAUUUACGGUGUAGCGGUGAAAUGCGUAGAUAUCGUAAGGAAGACCAGUGGCGAAGGCGGGUCUCUGGACAGUUCCUGACGCUGAGGCACGAAGGCCAGGGGAGCAAACGGG